CGAAGGUAGCAUAAUCAUUAGUUUUUUAAUUGAAGGCUAGAAUGAAUGGUUGGACCAGAAAUAAUCUGUCUUAAAUUAAUAUAUUGAAUUUAACUUUUAAGUGAAAAGGCUUAAAUAAUCUGAAGGGACGAUAAGACCCUAUAAAACUUUAUAUUGAAAAGUGAUAGGUAUAUUUUGUUUAAAGAAUUAUUACUUUAAAGUAUUUGGUUGGGGUGACAAAAAUAGAAGAUAAAGUAACUGUUUUUUUUUUAUACAAUAAUGUUUGGGUUAGUGAUCCUAAAAUGGAUUAAAGAUUAAGUUACUUUAGGGAUAACAGCGUAAUUUUCUUUAAGAGUUCUUAUCGAUAAGAAAGUUUGCGACCUCGAUGUUGAAUUAAAGGUUCUUUAUGGAGUAGAGACUAUAAAAGAAGGUCUGUUCGACCUUUAAAACUUUACAUGAUUUGAGUUCAGACCGG
rnacentral:rRNA from 1 species